GAUGAACGCUGGCGGCGUGCCUAAUACAUGCAAGUCGAGCGAACAGACGAGGAGCUUGCUCCUCUGACGUUAGCGGCGGACGGGUGAGUAACACGUGGAUAACCUACCUAUAAGACUGGGAUAACUUCGGGAAACCGGAGCUAAUACCGGAUAACAUGUUGGACCGCAUGGUUCAACAGUGAAAGACGGUCUUGCUGUCACUUAUAGAUGGAUCCGCGCCGCAUUAGCUAGUUGGUAAGGUAACGGCUUACCAAGGCAACGAUGCGUAGCCGACCUGAGAGGGUGAUCGGCCACACUGGAACUGAGACACGGUCCAGACUCCUACGGGAGGCAGCAGUAGGGAAUCUUCCGCAAUGGGCGAAAGCCUGACGGAGCAACGCCGCGUGAGUGAAGAAGGUCUUCGGAUCGUAAAACUCUGUUAUUAGGGAAGAACAAAUGAGUAAGUAACUAUGCACGUCUUGACGGUACCUAAUCAGAAAGCCACGGCUAACUACGUG
rnacentral:rRNA from 1 species